rnacentral:piRNA from 1 species
UAGAGACCCAACUGGACAUGGUGCUUAGC